UAACUCCCAGUGCACUAAAUGAUGUUAUAAUGUGGAAUACCGAUAACCAAAAAUCAUAAAAUCAUGACAUGACACAUACAUAACAUACUUCAGUAAAAAUAUGCAAGAUGGAAGGAGCCAAAACUAGAGCAUAUUCACUCAUACUGUCUAUUGCCAAUAGUCCCAAGCAAUUGCUGUCUGAAAGCCACCAGUGGACAUUGGUUUGGAGAGUACAAAUUGUACUAGGUGACAGAGUCCAAAAGCAUGUCAGAGAACAAGCUAGCAUAUCAGGGGAAACCAUAACUUAAGGCUCUGUUACUAUUGCCUGUAUUUAUCAGCAUGCUACUUGAAACGUUCCUGGGCAAUUCUUGGGCACAAUUUGGGAGAGAAACAAUAAAUCAGGAAUACUUUCUAGUACAAACCAGCAUUAUUUUUAUUUAUUUGUUUAUUUAUUUAGAAAAUAUUUUCACAAGCAGUGCCAUGUCACUUGCCGUUGGGAACAAAAAUUUGCGCUUGGUCUUCUGUAUUUUCUAGCAUAGAUGCUAAUCUUAGCAACAUAGUGCUUGAGAGCCUCUUGUGACCAUGAAGUGUUGACUAGGAUAAACCUAGAAGUACUAAAGGGCUAACCUAGUGAAAUUCAAUAUAGGCAAAUUUAAAGGGAGGGAGAAGUGUUCUAAAAAUGCCCUGACCCUAAUGAGAUCCUGGACUUACAGAUCUAUGAGAAACUCACCUUAGUGUUUAGCAUUAUAUAGGGGGAAAAAAAUGUGAAUAUUAGCAAUUAUUACAAAGGAAUAGAGGAUAAAGGACAGAGGAUGUGGUACUGGCACACAUCUUGAAAAUCGUGUAACAUUCAUCCCCUCCCACUUCAGAGCAGAUAUAGCGAUGCUGGCAAGGCUCAUAGAAGCAUAAAAAGCACAUAAACAUGUAAGAAUCAACAUCUGUACAGGGCUGGAAAAGAGAAUACUGAUAUGAUGUAAGUCUGUAAAAAUACAAACAUUACAGGAUAGUGUAACAUGUAGAAUAGUUACAGCUAGCUCUUUUAGUAUAAAAUCUGCAGGUCAUUAAAUGAAGUUAGGCUUUGGUAGUUUCACAGCAAAUGAAACGAAGUGAUUCCAUACGCACUGCUUUUAGUCUACCAAAUCCUACCUCCACAUCCCUCACUGUAAAUGAGUUCAGGGAACAGCUGGGCAACUUCAGAGAAGAGAAAGCUCUGAAGUUAGUCUUGGAUCUGAGACACAUGUUACUGGUGGAUAGUAGAGUACAUGAGGAAGAAUCAAAUACACUCGCUCUUUGCUUGAUCUCUUUUGCAGGCCUCCAUUUUUGGCCACCAUCAGAGAUUGUGGCAGAUGGACCUCUAGUUCAUCUAGGAACAACCACUGCUCUUUUUCUGUGCUCUGACUGUUUUUCCCGCUGUGUUCAGAGGUAAAGGAUUUUCUCCAGACUCUUUUCAAAUAAAUAGGAUCUUGUUUGU
ensembl:lncRNA